rnacentral:rRNA from 1 species
UACGUAGGGUGCGAGCGUUGUCCGGAAUUAUUGGGCGUAAAGGGCUCGUAGGCGGUUUGUCGCGUCGGGAGUGAAAACCUUGGGCUUAACUCAGGGCUUGCUUUCGAUACGGGCAGACUAGAGGUAUGCAGGGGAGAACGGAAUUCCUGGUGUAGCGGUGAAAUGCGCAGAUAUCAGGAGGAACACCGAUGGCGAAGGCAGGUCUCUGGGCCGCAACUGACACUGAGGAGCGAAAGCAUGGGGAGCGAACAGGG